rnacentral:rRNA from 1 species
CCCCUCAAGAUGAGAUUUCCCAGUAUGUAAGACCCCUUGAAGACGACGAGGUAGAUAGGUUGGAGGUGGAAGUGCAGCAAUGCAUGGAGCUGACCAAUACUAAUCGGUCGAGGGCUUAUCCUAA